rnacentral:rRNA from 1 species
UACGUAGGGUGCGAGCGUUGUCCGGAAUUAUUGGGCGUAAAGAGCUCGUAGGCGGUUUGUCGCGUCGGCCGUGAAAACUUGGGGCUUAACCCCAAGCUUGCGGUCGAUACGGGCAGACUUGAGUUCGGCAGGGGAGACUGGAAUUCCUGGUGUAGCGGUGAAAUGCGCAGAUAUCAGGAGGAACACCGGUGGCGAAGGCGGGUCUCUGGGCCGAUGAUCCUGACGCUGAGGAGCGAAAGUGCGGCGGGAGAACAGG